rnacentral:ncRNA from 2 species
AGCUCAUCCAGAGGGACUGAGGGAACGGCCCGUUGACGUCCCGGCAACCUUCUCGCACGGUCGGCUUCACGCCCCGGCGGGACAGGUGCCAAUUCCGGCCCGGGCGCGACCGCGUCACGGGGAAGAUGAGGA